CGGGGCUUCUGCAGAGCUAGGGUCUAAGGAAGAACUGCUAAGACCUGGAAGAGUUGUACUGCUUACUUCUCUCUGCUGAAUUCCAGUAGGCAGCGAUUCCAAAGACACCCCCGACCCAGUAGCAAUCGGAUCCUAGUGCCAGCCCACUCUGAAAUCAUCUCCGCUUUCCGUGUCUCAGCUGUGCUGGAUUGCAACUCCCAGGCGGUCCUGCGGCCGUGGCUGAUUUGGGUAGUUGCGUCUGUGGUCAGUCGCCUUGACAACCUGGUUGAGGUGAAGCAGGGUGUGGCGGCUGGAGGCGUCCUUCCGCAGCUGUGCCUCGGUACUGCGCCCUCUCCCUGCGUCCUCCAUUGCUUACUCCUUGUGAGCGGCGGUACUUUCCGGGUGUCCCCGGUGUGUCUCUCUGGGUGACAGCGGCACCAGCGGUGUCUGGGGACUCAGGCCUGCUCUGCGGGCGGCGCAGCUCCGAGCAGGAGAGGGGAAGUUACGGGAGGUUGAGGGGUGCUUUUCCCCGCAUCGGGUUAUGGCUGUCUGCUCUGCCUGGUCCUCUCAGCGCUUCCUAGGAAGUCUGCGGAUAAAGUCCUCAGGAAAGCGAGGUGGAGUCCGCUGGACUUCAAGUCAGGUGGCUUUUCCUGAAAGGCACAGCCUUUUCGGGAGUGGAAGCUGCCAUUCCAGUGUCAGUGGUUCCCUGUGCCACCUCCACUAUGCUGGCUCAUGCCAUCAUGACACCUAGAAGAGCUGUGCCAACCAGCAUGGAUUUGCCAUCUUCCCUGGACUAGAAGAUCUGAUUCCGGAGAUUUGAUGUAACACCAGGACAAUGUGGAGAAAGACGAGUUCCAAUUAAAACAGUAGGAUCUGGGGAAAAAGUGAAAAGGGAAAAUUAUACUGGCAAAGAAGAGCCAAUGUCUCUCAAUAUCCUAACUGGCACUUGGUACCAUGUCAAUUAUUUCUGAGGAGAAUCGGGGCCCUGCCUCACACAGUAUGGGGUUGGGAAGGCCUAGGUUCAGAGGAUGUCUUUGGAAGAUUCCUCAAGGAUCAUCCAACCUGUCUCUGCCAGCUAUUAGAGGUAUGAUUCAUUCCCACAGUGUUUGGCCACAGAAGAGUUGCACCAUAGAAGUACCUGCUGGAGAGGACACCUGCAAACCUACUACUGCCCAAAUUGUCUGUAGCCUGCCCUGGUUGGAAACUGCAUUUGUUGAUUUUAUAACCUGCCAUUGCUCAUCUAUUUCUAUUAGGUUUUCUUACUGCAGUGCCACCAGUGGGUUACCAGUAUGCUGAGAUAUUGUCCCCCAGCCCCUCACUUGUGGCCAGAUGUGAACAGCUUCCUCUGUUUUCCCAAGCAAUAUGUAAAAGCAUUGUUACUUAUGUGUGUGCCACAUAGAUUAAAAACAUUGAUCAUUAUUCUUAGUAUGCUGGAGUGUUUUUCACAUAUGAAGAUUGUCUAUUACAAACAUAGGAGAUCUUAUAAGAUUGUAUUCUCACCAGGGAUUUAGCUCAGUGGUGCCACUGCUUGCCUUGCAAGUGCAAGGACCUGAGUUCAAUCCCCUGCAUGUGAGAGCAGUGAUAGGGGUCAGGUAUUCACAUUUUGAAAAUUAAUUACUUAAUUACUUAAUUUAAUUUGUUCUCUCUCUUUUUUUUU